rnacentral:pre_miRNA from 1 species
AGGUCUUGACGAGCGCCAUGUUGUCAUCUUGAGGGUAAUAUUGCACUCGUCCCGGCCUGC